rnacentral:rRNA from 1 species
AUUGAACGCUGGCGGCAGGCCUAACACAUGCAAGUCGAGCGGAUGAAGGGAGCUUGCUCCUGGAUUCAGCGGCGGACGGGUGAGUAAUGCCUAGGAAUCUGCCUGGUAGUGGGGGAUAACGUCCGGAAACGGGCGCUAAUACCGCAUACGUCCUGAGGGAGAAAGUGGGGGAUCUUCGGACCUCACGCUAUCAGAUGAGCCUAGGUCGGAUUAGCUAGUUGGUGGGGUAAAGGCCUACCAAGGCGACGAUCCGUAACUGGUCUGAGAGGAUGAUCAGUCACACUGGAGCUGAGAAACGGUCCAGACUCCUACGGGAGGCAGCAGUGGGGAAUAUUGGAAAAUGGGCGAAAGACUGAUCCAGCCAUGCCGCGUGUGUGAAGAAGGUCUUCGGAUUGUAAAGCACUUUAAGUUGGGAGGAAGGGCAGUAAGUUAAUACCUUGCUGUUUUGACGUUACCAACAGAAUAAGCACCGGCUAACUUCGUG